ACUGCAAUUCUAAGGAGUUUUGUAUUUUAACAAAUCUUCCUCUUGUGGUAGCAAUUUAACAUUUUGUUUGAAACAUCCCACAAUGCAAAAUGGUUAAAGGGGGCUUGUUAGGUUUUUAAAUAGAGCAGAGAAGAAUCCACUGUAAACAGCUUCUGGAUUAAAAACAAGGAAACCUGCUACUGCCACUAAUUAGUGCGUAAAGUACCUCACCCAAACCAGCUUUGCUUUUUCUCACUGAAAGAGACAAUAUUGGCUACCCUUGUCUAUACGACAAGGUUUUUGUUUUUGUUCUUUAAAGACAAAACAAUAGGAAGGUAGGAUUUUACAUAGCUCUAGCCUCCAGCAAUUACAGGAUUCGUGUGAUAUUAAUCAAUUAUGAACAGUUUCUUUUCACACCAGGGAACAGAUGCUUAUUAGCUUGAGCUUUAAAACACAAAUUUUAAAAUUACAGCAACUAAGAAAAUAAUACUGGCACAAUGAGAAAUCUGUACCCACAUUGUCUGUUCUUUAGAACAUGUUUUUAUGCUUUAAUAGCUUUUUGGGUCUGGGACAUGCAAUCCACACUGGGACACAGCAGAGAUUUGCUCUUCAGAAAGUGCCUUAACUGAGUAAAGUGUUGCCAGGCUCUAUUAUGGGUCCUGCCUCAAGCAGAACAUUGCACAUCUCAUUCUCCCUGGAGGAUCUCUUCCACUUUUCCCUCACCUCCACCGCUGAUCCAGAGAUCUGACUUUCAUCUUCUUCUCCUUUUUUCUCUCCUAAACAUGCCACUGUUUCUUCCUAAACUAAACUUGUUGAUGUGAAAGUCAACAGGUUGAGGGUAAUUCAAUUUCAAUAAUAAGCAGAUGGCUUGUGAGUUCCUGAGACCCAAGUAAAGGCCCUUCCAUGGGAAGCACCUAAUUCGAAAGGAGGAAACACCAAGAGAAUUAAGAACUCUGCAAGGAGUCUGACUGAAGAGGAGCUAGCUUCCAACCCCUCCUUCCUGCACCACCCCUCCGAGUUCAUCUGAGGGAAGCUCACUUUCCCAAGAGCCCAUCUUUUCCUGGUUGUAAAUGUGUUCAUUUCCAAUGUACACAGGCUAAACAUAUGGCAGAACAGUGUGAAGAGGGAAGUGUGUCCAUUAGCACAUUCAGGGACACAGUCUGAGAUGUACAUUCAACAAAGAGCUUCUUGUAUCUGAGUCCUGUACCACAGCAUUGCACCAAUGAAAGCUGAACUGACCUCAGUUUGUGUGGGCAGUGUGUGUGCGUGCGUGUGUGCGUGCGUGCGUGCGUGCGUGCAUGUGUGUGGUAUAUUUCACAAGGCCAGACAAAUUCAGGCUACUCUGUUAAAGUCUCUUGGUAUAAUGGAGGAAAAAAGUAUUGGAUGACCUCGUAUGUGUUAAAGAGGAGGAGGAGUUCCCAGAGAUUAGAAAAUGAAGAGGAGCUGGAAUUUUAUUUUAAUUAGUCUCACAUUCCCUGGAGAGCUUUUCUGAGAAUAUGAUCUUCUUUCCCAUUUACUUUUCUGCAGCAAAGUCUGGAGACUCACUAAGCUGAGGAGGAAGAGAGGAACAUCUCAACCCAAGCUGAAUUCUGAAGAACACUGGCCCCCACCUUCCAGAAAUCCUAAAUCACAUAGAGGGAAAGUUUCGGCCAGGUCACCAAGAAUGAACCAGAAGCUGAGUCCAUUACUCCAAUUUUCACAUUAACCAGGAGACACAUUGAAAAUUAUUUUCUUGAGUGAGAGACUGAAAUUUUGGCUCAAGGGUGUUUCUGUUGAGUCUUCUCUUGAUAUGGCACGUGAGGACUGCAUCCCAGGUCACAUCUGCAGCCACUCCCAGAUUACACUGCAAGGGAGGGUAGAUUAGGAGUAGAUAGGGAGUAGAGGGGUCUGCAGACACAGCGAAAGCAGCAAGCUGGUGUAGGAAAACCCAGAAAAUAUGUCUCAGAGACAGCCAGUGGCUGCACAUACAAAAGGAAGGCACCUACCUGGAAGAGAAGGGGUUAUGAAGUUCUGCCCAGAGUCACAGCGCUGACGUCCUCAGAAGGUCUCCAGCCCUCUGUAGCAAUCUAUAGUAUGCGUCAGUAUGGUUGAAAAAGCUGCUUCUAUCAAGUUUAACAACUUUCUGGUGUAACUUCUGAGAGGGCUGAUUGCUUAUUCAUGCGGAAGCAAGACGCCCAGUUCAUUUUGCCCGUUUUUGCUACUCUUUGUUGGGUUUGGGAGGCUGUUACGGUAGCUGCAAAUGGCUUCUCAAGUGACAUUUGCUGACAUUCAGUGAAGUACAUUUAUCAGUAUUCGCCAGCUCACCUCUCUACACAUGCAAUCCAUUUUGUUUUGUUCUUCAUAGCAAACUCCUUUCCGACACCCAUGCCCUGAAAAUGAUAAAUGGCAAGGUGGCAUAUUUCUCAAGCUGCACUCAAAUGUCACUGUGAAAAAUCUUUAAUGGACUAAGUGUAGCUUUUCACGUUACAACUUGUCAGGUACUGAGAAAUUCUAGAGUUUCUCUUUAAUCCACAAGUCUUUGGAACCACACAUCUGCAAGCAGAGACUAAUUAUAAGCUGCACCAGUCAGACCUGGGCAAGCAGAAACCAAGGAGAAAACAUCUGAUAUCAGCUAAUUCUUUAUUAUUAUUAUCAUCAUCAUCAUCAUUCCAUUUUUGCUCCUUCCUUUCCUACUCAGGAUAUUUGAGGUAUGAGCAAUCUGUGACCAGGCCACCAUGCAGGCCUAUAAUCUACUCAUACACCCAGCUUUCUCCGUAAUGGCUUUAUUCUUUUCCUCCAAGGUUCAAAAUCACCAUGACUUCUCCCCCACGGGGGGCAGUGGAGGGGGGAACUGACUCCCAAAUAUCAGCCAUAAUUGGGAAGGUGAGAGGUAUCUCAUAUGUCUGGGUGGAAGAGUUUCCUUUCUCCCUGGUGAUUCAUUUUCAGAACACAUGGCCAUCUUUCCAAUGGCUUUGAGUUUCACAUCACCACUGGAAAGACCUGCCAGUUUCUUCCUGUGUGCCUGUCCACUGCCAUGCUACUCACAGGAUGGUGGCCUAUGGGCACUCACUCACCCUUCAACAUGACUUGUUCACUCCAGUUCUCCCUUUCCAAAUGUUCUCAAUCCCCUGGUCCAUGCCCCAAGGGGGAUUCGGCCUUUGCUCACCAGCUAUGUUCUGAAUGUUUGUGUCUUCCCCAAAUUAAUAUGUUGAAACUUAAUCACAAAUGUGAUGGUGUAAGAAGGUGGGGACUUUGGGACUUUAUUAGGUCAUGGAGGGAGAACCUCAUAAAAGAGGCUGCCUUGCCCCCUCCAUCAUGUGAAGCACCAUCUGUGAACCAGGAAAUGGGCCCUCACCAGACACUGAUCCUGCUGGUUCCUUGAUCUCGGACUUUUCGGUACACAGAACUGUGGGAUACACAUUGCUGUUAUUUAUGAGCCACCCAGUUUAAGGUGUUUUGUUAUAGCAGCCCAAAUGGACUAGGCCACCACCAUAGUCAGGGAAGAGCUGGCUGAUUUGUGCGUGUCUGUGCUGUGUCCCAAUGAAAGCACAAUAAUUAAUGAACAUUGAUUCUGCAAUCGAUGUUUGAAGGUCGAAGGAGUUGGGAAAGGGGGUCUCCUGAAGCCAAAGAAAAGCAUUGUACUCCCCAAAACUGUGCCAGCCAGGUUUACCUUUCACAAGAUGCUACAGAUUGAGAUGCGUUGGUUUUACUUCUGACUCUUUAAGCCCCACUCAAGCUCUAAUUUUGAUAUCUCCUUCAAGACACCUUAGUUUGGGCCCCUCCCAGGCUCCCUUCUGUUUUUGUUCUUUUUUUCUAACAUCAUCCUUGGCUUUUCUUCUCUUUUAGGUUUGACCUCCUGUCUCUUGGGUUGAGAAACCGUCCGCUCUGACUCCUGGCCUACUGUGACUCCUCCAAAGCCCUCUGUACAGGUCUUUGGGCACACAGAGACUCAACAAUCUAAUAAUCUAAAAUUGUAAAUGCCA